CGCUUCCUUCAGCUCGGCGGGAUGGGCAGUCGCGCCUCCGAGGGAGGGCAGUUGAUGGGCCGAGAUCUGAGCCGCCGCCCGCCCCGGGCAGCGCCGUGAGGGGCCGCCCUGUAGCCAGGCCCUGCCGUUACCUGGGAGAGCCGGGCUAUUUUUAACCUGGAUGUGUUCUGCGAUUUGUUUCCCACACAGCACUGAAACUGGUGCAGCUGAGAGGCAGAAAAGAGCAUAGCUUUAAUUCCUGUUGGCUCAGUUGCAUUAGCUCAACAUGACUGAGAAGCACUCUCCACCUCCAGAAACACAGAAGUGAGUGCAGAUCUACACUGGAAACUUCUGCCCAUGUAGCCGGGAGCCAGGAGGGCUGGCACUUAGGACACCUCCUCCUGGUGUGCUGCCAAGGACGGCGGCAGUGUCCUCCCGCUGAAGGAGGCAUCCCCCAGCUCUGGGCACACAGCAUCCAUCCCCACCGCUCACCCGACCCCUCCUCUCGAGACCUACUAAUGCUGGGAGAGGCAAGGUAACCUCGCCACGGAAAAGAGCUGGGACAGCAGCCAGCGGAGAUUAAUGGCAUCAUUAACAUCCCCGGGUUAUUUAUAGGCUUAAAAAUGCCUCGGACCUGCAAACUGAGCAGAGCUGCUCUCUGUAAAUCAGGGACUCACGGGUCUCCUGCUUUUGCCUUUCCCCUUCCUGCUGUUUCAUCCUGAUCACUGGCACUUUAAAAGCUCUGGAGCAGGGACCGUCUCUCAUUGUAACCUACAUUGUAAACCUUCCUAGGAAGGGGGAUGGAUGCACGUGGGGUUUUUCCAUGAAUGCUUUCUCCUCCACCCAGCUCUUUCUGUGCUCGCUGUGUCCUGUGGCUUCUCUUUGGGAAAACUCUCUUUGUGGUAUAUUCCUGAGGCAUGAGCUGAGCAGUCAUCACAGGAAUUAGUGAUUUUCUGCCAUGGGUUUUAACUGUGAACUCUGUGAGAGCAGGACUGGGAAUCUCAUAGCUGUGGACAGCACCUAGCACAUGUGAGUCCCUACUGAGACAUGCAAAUUAAUUAAGGAGGACUAUGGAGGCCCUUUUAUGGGAGCCAGCCGAGCCAGCCCAGCAUCCAGGUCCUCCAGGAACCUCACAGGACUGGCAUGAAAAGAAAAACCCUCCCUGAGUGUGUUGGCCCUAGAAGAGGAGUUUUCAGCAUGUGACCUGUGGCCACACUGCCUGGCCUGUUUCCCAGCACUCGGUGAAAGGUAAGUGAGAAAGGAAGCUUGUUGUCAGCAGGCACAAAUCCAAGGGAUCAGUUGUGUGACUGGGAGAUGGCUCCGUGGGUGGGAGAAAAAAGUACAAAUGCCAGUAGGAACAUCUCCCCCCCAGGAACACAGAUAACCAGAGUGGUACUUCAUGGAGGUGAGGUUGCUUCAGAGGGCAGCCAGCUUUCGC